rnacentral:rRNA from 1 species
UACGUAGGGUGCGAGCGUUAAUCGGAAUUACUGGGCGUAAAGCGUGCGCAGGCGGUUUGUUAAGACAGAUGUGAAAUCCCCGGGCUUAACCUGGGAACUGCAUUUGUGACUGGCAGCUAGAGUAUGGCAGAGGGGGGUAGAAUUCCACGUGUAGCAGUGAAAUGCGUAGAGAUGUGGAGGAAUACCGAUGGCGAAGGCCAGCCCCCUGGGCCAAUACUGACGCUCAUGCACGAAAGCGUGGGGAGCAAACAGG